rnacentral:rRNA from 1 species
CCUUCUUCUUCUCUCUUUCUCCUUCUUUCCUUUUCUUCCCUCUCUUUCCUUCUGUUCGAUAAGUCGUGCGUGAAAGCUCCCAGGCUUAACCGGGAGAGGACGUGCGAGACUGUCGGACUAGAGGCAGGUAGUGGCAAGUGGAAUUCCGGGUGUAGUGGUGAAAUGCGUAGAGAUCCGGAGGAACCCCGGUGGCGAAGGCGACUUGCUGGGCCUGAACUGACGCUCAGACGCGAAAGCAUGGGGAGCGAACGG